rnacentral:rRNA from 1 species
GACGAACGCUGGCGGCGUGCUUAACACAUGCAAGUCGAACGCUGAAGCUCAGCUUUUGUUGGGUGGAUGAGUGGCGAACGGGUGAGUAACACGUGAGUAACCUGCCCCCUUCUUUGGGAUAACGCCCGGAAACGGGUGCUAAUACUGGAUAUUCACUGGUCUUCGCAUGGGGGUUGGUGGAAAGGGUUUUUCUGGUGGGGGAUGGGCUCGCGGCCUAUCAGCUUGUUGGAGGGGUGAUGGCCUACCAAGGCUUUGACGGGUAGCCGGACUGAGAGGGUGACCGGUCACAUUGGGACUGAGAUACGGCCCAGACUCCUGCGGGAGGCAGCAGUGGGGAAUAUUGCACAAUGGGCGCAAGCCUGAUGCAGCGACGCCGCGUGAGGGAUGGAGGCCUUCGGGUUGUGAACCUCUUUCGCUCAUGGUCAAGCCGCAACAAUGGUUGUGGUGAGGGUAGUGGGUAAAGAAGCGCCGGCUAACUACGUG